AAACAAAUCCCAAGGAGGCAGGAGAAGGUGAUGGCUGCGGGUGCAUUUCCAGCACCGGAGGAGGAAACUCUACCUGACUUAGAAGGGAAUGUGGCGACGUGGACUCUGGGUUGAAUGGGACAGGGUCAGAGAAAGCAGGGCCCCUGCAGGCUGGGCCUGACCAAUCUGUGUCCCCCGCGACACUGCGCAGGUGACUGCUGGCUUCUGGCCGCCAUUGCCUCCCUGACCCUGAACGAAGAGCUGCUUUACCGGGUGGUCCCUAGGGACCAGGACUUCCAGGAGAACUAUGCGGGAAUCUUUCACUUUCAGUUCUGGCAGUAUGGAGAGUGGGUGGAGGUGGUCAUUGACGACAGGCUGCCCACCAAGAACGGACAGCUGCUCUUCCUACACUCGGAACAAGGCAAUGAAUUCUGGAGUGCCCUGCUGGAGAAAGCCUAUGCCAAGCUUAAUGGUUGUUAUGAGGCUCUCGCUGGAGGUUCAACGGUGGAGGGGUUUGAGGAUUUCACAGGUGGCAUCUCUGAGUUUUACGACCUGAAGAAACCACCAGCCAAUCUAUAUCAG
rnacentral:sRNA from 1 species